GAAGAAGUCAUAGAGGUUCUGGGAUUGGCUUGAAACCAGUCUUUGGGGGUUGAAUUCCUUCCUUUUUCA
rfam:Pongo abelii chromosome 5.